rnacentral:rRNA from 1 species
AACGAACGCUGGCGGCGCGCCUAAUACAUGCAAGUCGAACGAGAAGCUGUAGCAAUACAGUUGUACAGUGGCGAACGGGUGAGGAACACAUGGGUGACCUACCCUCGAGUGGGGAAGUAACCAGCCGAAAGGUUGGCUAAUACCGCGUACGCUUCCCAGUCUACGGGUUGGGAAGGAAAGACGAUGCCGUGGGUAGUCGCGCUCAAGGUUGGGCUCAUGUCCUAUCAGCUUGNGGUU